rnacentral:rRNA from 1 species
GUGGGGAAUCUUGCGCAAUGGGCGAAAGCCUGACGCAGCCAUGCCGCGUGAAUGAUGAAGGUCUUAGGAUUGUAAAAUUCUUUCACCGGGGACGAUAAUGACGGUACCCGGAGAAGAAGCCCCGGCUAACUUCGUGCCAGCAGCCGCGGUAAUACGAAGGGGGCUAGCGUUGCUCGGAAUUACGGGGCGUAAAGGGCGCGUAGGCGGACAGUUUAGUCAGAGGUGAAAGCCCAGGGCUCAACCUUGGAAUUGCCUUUGAUACUGGCUGUCUUGAGUACGGGAGAGGUGAGUGGAAAUCCGAGUGUAGAGGUGAAAUUCGUAGAUAUUCGGAAGAACACCAGUGGCGAAGGCGACUCACUGGCCCGUUACUGACGCUGAGGCGCGAAAGCGUGGGGAGCAAACAGGAUUAGAUACCCUAGUAGUCC